GAUGAACGCUGGCGGCGUGCCUAAUACAUGCAAGUCGAGCGAAUGGAUUAAGAGCUUGCUCUUAUGAAGUUAGCGGCGGACGGGUGAGUAACACGUGGGUAACCUGCCCAUAAGACUGGGAUAACUCCGGGAAACCGGGGCUAAUACCGGAUAACAUUUUGAACCGCAUGGUUCGAAAUUGAAAGGCGGCUUCGGCUGUCACUUAUGGAUGGACCCGCGUCGCAUUAGCUAGUUGGUGAGGUAACGGCUCACCAAGGCAACGAUGCGUAGCCGACCUGAGAUGGUGAUCGGCCACACUGGGACGGAGACAGGGCCCAGACUCCUACGGGAGGCAGAAGUAGGGAAUCUUCCGAAAUGGACGAAAGUCUGACGGAGCAACGCCGCGUGAGUGAUGAAGGCUUUCGGGUCGUAAAACUCUGUUGUUUGGGAAGAACAAGUGCUAGUUGAAUAAGCUGGCACCUUGACGGUACCUAACCAGAAAGCCACGGCUAACUACGUGCCAGCCGCCGCCGUAA
rnacentral:rRNA from 1 species